rnacentral:tRNA from 1 species
GUCCAGGGUAGCCUAGUGGUCAUGGCAUCUGCCCGGUAAGCGGAAGGUCGUGAGUUCGAUUCCCAUCCCUUGACA